rnacentral:tRNA from 1 species
GCCCCUGGCUUAAUGGUUAGAGCGUUUGACUUCUAAUCAACGGAUCGCGGGUUCGAUCCUCGGGUGAAGCA